rnacentral:tRNA from 1 species
GUUUUAAUAGUUUAUAAAAAAUAUAGGUCUUGUAAACCUAAGUUAAAUUAAUUUUUUAAAACA